GCAGAAUGGUUGAGAGAGAUGGCACUAAAUCGCUCUGCUCCUCACAUACUAAACCAGCAUGUUUGCAAAACACAGUCAACAAUGUAACAGCGUCUUGAUCCUGGGCACAUAGGGAGUCUCCUCACAGCUGUGGCUAUGCAGCAGACUUUUUGACAUCAUCCUCUACAAUGUUCUGAGCUACACUUAUAGAUGUCCUGGGGUAUCUGUCCCUACUUACCUCAUUGAUGGCUGGGUCCCAGCAUGCACACUUCCACAAAGGGGCGGAACAUGGCGGUGGUCUGCCAGUUUAGGUCAUUGAUCGCAAUCACUGAAAAGCAGGAGCAGAGUUUUAGCAAACGAGUGUGUUGAAAUGAGAGCUUCUGCCUCCUGAUGGGGGAACUUGGCCUUGGAGUGCACAUGUGCCCUGACCGUACCAACAGGGAAUCAUGCCACCAGCUGAGACACUGGAUGCCAUGAAUGGUACGGAGACAGAAAGUAAAGGUCCCAGGAAUAAACUCCACCAUAGAAGAAAGAUUUAUAAGGUGACAACUUCAAGGCCCUGACAAGAAGUUAAAGGGGACACCGGAUGAUGUAGAGGCUCCUAGAUCCUGGACCUCAAACCUCAUAAAAGAAGACUCUCUGUGCAGUUGGAUAAUGGUCAAUGUCCAGGAUCACAAUGAUUAAAGUGAAGAGAAUAAGUGCAGGUGAAAUGCUCAGCUACACAGCGAACAUUUAUAUAACCCUGUCCCCUAAGACUCAGGGACCAUCUUGGAAGAGGUCAAGAGCAGAGAAAAUAUAUGCUUGUACUAGUGCACAAACAUGUGCAAGUAACAUUUUGAUAAGGGUUAAAAAUUAGACAACCCGUGCAUAAAGAAUGAAGCAGUGAACAUGACACAGUUCUUAUUGAUGAUGGUGAAUCCAUGUGAAGAAAAGAGUGAAGAGAAUCUGUACCCGAGUUAUAAGUGAUAAAGAAACGUAAAACGUCAGAGUGACAGUACAAACAGCCAAGCAGAUGAGGAGUACACGAUGUCAGAGAACCCUGUGCUCUCUCCAUCUGUGAGGACACAGGCUUCCCUCACGUGGCUCUGCCACUUUGAUUGGGAUGCCCCUUAUCCUGCCAAGCAUACAUCGAGUGUUCAAACUGCUGACUGCAGCACCGGAGCAAGCAAUUGAACAGUGUCGCAGGAAAAUUGCGGGUGGCACGCAGCGAUGGGUGGAUGAAGCAGUGUCCACUGUGAUCUGAUAAUAGGUACCCAGUGAAGGCAGAAGAUAGAACCGACUUCCAUCCUGUCAUCAACCCAAAAUGCUCAUCUGGCUGAGUGCUCAAGUCCUAGCUGUCAAAAGCCACUUAACAGCAUCAAAAAGAAACUAGCCUUUCUGUGCACGAUGAUGCUAACAAGUCCAAAGAGGACUGCAGCGGGCACCAUGGUCCAGGUGUACAAUAGAGUUCUCUUCAUUCUCAGGACUUUAAUGAAGAAAAACAGAAAGCCCGAAAACGAGAAGCUGUUGUAGAAAGAGUGAAUCGGGAUGCUGUGGCCCCUCUUGGGCGUAAGCUGUUCUGUGGGAAGUGGAUAUCCACGGAUCAACUCUGCUGUGUGUGCUCUGACCUUUAUCUGAAGCUGAGCUAAUCCAACAGAGUUUGGCAAGGACAGAGCAUUAGAUAAAAGAAAAGCAAAGAACAGAACGAGGCAGAUUUGGCAGAAAGAGAAAUAGAGGAGAGAGAUGAUGAGUCCACUCUGCAGCUGAAGUGGAGAAGCUCAAGUGCGCACACCAGGAAACCCCGUUUCUUUCCCAUCAUUCUUUUAGCCGUCUCCUUUAUUGAUUGAUCAUUACGUGCUGUAUGAAACAAGAGCAUGCAAUUUGGAAUGUAUAAUGGCAUAGACCGGACAGGGGAAACAAAUGUGAUUUUCUUCAUCUUAUCGUUAUAUAAAACCUACCAUUUGGUGAGUGUUGUGGAAAAUGAGAACACGCAAACAAAAACCUUCCCACUUGAGCCCACGGCCUCUCUACCCACAGAGAAAUAGCUCUGGCUAGAAGACCCUACCUUUGCCAUCUCUGGAUUUUGCUUUCAAUCGUUGUUCAACUGUGUGUGAGCUGUGGGCUCAGGCAAUCAUGUCAGCAUCUAAAGAGUCUUCCUUUUUACUUCUCUUUUUUUUCUUUAAACACUGAUGAGCUGAGGUAAUCAUUCUCCCACCACGAGAUGAAAACAGGAGCUCACCCUGGCUGCGGCCACUGUCUCAGACAUAUUAAGAGCUAUUAACAUUAAUAGCCCUUUGUCCUUGGGUUUUGAUGUGGGUAGGGCGAUCUAGUUAAUUUUUUAAAGAACCACCACAUACAGGACACAAAUCUCUAUAUUUUGUUUUGAGAGAAAUAUGUGCACUAUUUUGAUUUUUUUUUUAAAUUCAAGGUAACCUUUAGAUUUGAUGAAACUGAAAAUUUAAAUUGCUUCUCUACUGGGGAUAAUUUGUUCCCCAAAAAACCUUUAACACCAUCUGGUUACUGAAGAGAAAUGGAUAAUUUUUUUAAAGGAUGCAGGCAGAACGCACACCUUUUGAGGAGACCUUAAAUUUUAAAGUAAACACAUACGGGAGCGGAACUGUCUGAAGCCAUCAGGGAAGAGCAGAAAGAAGAAAAGCGCAGAAAUAACUUCUAAAGACUAUGUUCUUCACAACCACCAUGAUUAGCAAAUUCCUGAGUUCAAACAGCACCGAGGGCCCCCCAGGGAGAGAGCACUAAAAUUAUUUUCUCUCUCAAGAAAAUGCUACACACAGUCUCUUGAAAAACAGCAGGCAUGCAGGGAGCAGCGGGGAUAAGAGACAAUAUUCUGAAGAUGUCUAAAUUCUGACUAAUUUCUACAGCUCUGUAUCCUAGUCCUGGAUAGACACCUGCCACCUUCCUUCCAAUUCGUCUCCUUCCGCUUAAACCGCCUGGGACUAGUUCAUCAUGUGGCCAUUCAUACUGCAGGAUUUACUAUGCCCUUUUAAUGAUUUCCCUUUAAAACAAUUCCUUUGCUGCCUCAUUCUUAAAGGAUUUGUUUUUUAAAGGUCUGGGGAUGGAGGCCCAUCGUGCUCUUCUCUGCCCCGUCUCCAGCUCCUGCUUGGCCAAACAUCAUCUCAGCUGAUGGAAUCCAGGGCUCAGCCAUUCAUUUAUUCAUUCGGUAAGCAUCAAAUAAUUAGGACCUGUAUUUCAGGUACUAAAAAUUGUUCAGGACAGUAAUUCCUGACCCUCACCAUGUAUUAGAGGCACCCAAGGAUCAUUCAGAUGUAAAUGUGGCCCCAUCUAAACCAGUAAUUGAGUUCUGAGAUGUCUGCUUGCAUUGAAGGUUCUGAAGGUGGCUUGCAUGUGGAGCCAAGGCUGGGAGGGUCAGUACAGCCCCUUGGCAGAGGGUCCCCCCAAGCAAGGCACAAAAGCUUUGUAAGAGUCUGUAGACUCCAUAGGAAGCAGAGCUGCAGACAGGCAGUCAACACCCAGUGGAAGCAGUGCAGUGACAAAGGAGGAAGACAGAAGAAUGGAAACGUGGGGCUGGGAGGGCAGUGCUAUGACUGGUGGACUGGCUCAGGCCUGGGCUAGCUUCCCACGGAGAACUGGCUCACAGGUCAACUUCCAAGAGUCAAUAAUCUUUCUGCACAGUGGCACUGCCCUCCCCCACACCAACUUCUCUGAUGUUAGUCUCUGAGGCAGAGCAAGACAGGGCUUUGAGGCCACCAUGAGCUUUCCAUUACUGAUUGAUUAUUCCCCAGCAGAUGUCAUGUCUUGUGUCCUGGGCAGUGGAUUCAAACUUUUGGCUAACAGCAAACACUCAGUCUCCUGCCACCUUGCAGAGAAGAAUUUAUGUAUCACUAUGUGGAGAACAAAGCUGGUUUAUUCAGGUCUGAGUUCAGAUUGCUCCUCAGGCUUUAAUGACCUGUCAACACUGUCUAUGAGUAACUCAAAGGCCCAGGGGAUCUUGCUAUCAUGCUAUACUGCCCUGUGCUGGCACCCGGGAAAAAUGUGGAGAUGGGAAUAUGAUACUGUCUGAAGCCACCUGCUUUUAGCAAGAGCAGCUGACAUCGAACACAAAAAGACUGAAGGCAAGUCUGCCUUCUUUUUGAAAUCAGUAUUUAGAAUAGGAGUCAUACUUUAGGUCUGCCUAUAAUGAUGAAAUCCAGGAUCCCGGAGACUCUUCAGGCUACCAACCCAUAUGUUCUUCAAGAGUAAAGGACAGACGAAAAGUCUGUCAAUAGAAAGGUCUUAGACACCCAGUUGAAAAGAAAGGUAAGAAGAGACAACAGAGCUGGGAUCUUUUGUGUUAGAGAGGGAAAGGCAGCUCUGAGUGGAGCAGAGGGUACUAGCUGCCUUUGGAGAGAAUGUAGGGUCUAGGACUGGGAUGGGGCACACAGAGGAACUUCUGAGCAGGAAGAAUUCUCCUGGCCAUGGAGCUCUUACCUUUAUUUUCUACAGCUCUGUGUUCCACAUAGUGUUUUAUAAUAAUGGUAAAAAUGACACUUCAAUUCAAAAUAUUGUCAAAAUGUUUUAAACUAUACUUAUGUUUUAUCAUAUAAAAGGUAAAAAUUCUUAUGGUUCAGGUCUGCUGCCAAAUGACAGAAUAAUCUCAAAGAAAAUAUUCAAACAGUGUACACACCUUGAGGCACCCCUCCCUCAUUUUCUUUUCAAGACAGGCUCUCUCCAUGUAGUCCUGGCUGACCUAGAAUUUAUAUAGACCAUGCGAGCCUUGAACUCACAGAGGUCUUCCCGCUUAUGCCUCCUGGUGCUGAGAUUAAAAGUACUUGCCUGUGACACCUCUAAAGGGACAUGUCUGUGGCAAGUAGUGAGGUUUGUGGUGGUGAUUCUCUUUCUUCUCUGAAAUUGUCCUACCCUCAUGGCACAUCCAGACCAAUCAAAUUAAUCUCUUAUUUUUACAGAAAACUAGGAACAAUAGUGCAUAUUACUUUGGGCCCUGCAUUGAUGAGUUAUUAUGGUAAUUAAAGUGUUUCAGAAAUGUAUUUGUCUCCUCUGUCUCCACACUGGAGAUCCAUGGUGACUGCCUAUAGGUUGGCUUCCCAUAGACAGCUCUGUAGUCCUCAGGGGCCAAGGAGGUGCUCAUCCCUUCCCAACAGCUGCUAGUCGUUGGAGAAUGAGUUGCCUAUUAGGUGCCAGCCAGUUUAAACCAGCAAAGAGAAGAGCUAGUGAGCAGAAUGGGAGCAGAGGCUGGGGAGUUGGCUGAGGUUGGGGUCUGUGUCACUGAAGUCCAGAGAUAAACCAGGAAGAGACAGGAAGUAUCCGUUUGCUCCUGAGUGGCUAUUCUUCUUUCUAGUAGAAUAUAGAAAUCAAGCAGCUCUUGUUCCUAACAUGUCCUUGUUUUUGAUUGCUUACAUUUCCCAAUUUUAAGGGGAAAUGGAACCUUAGGCAAAUGUCAGUGGCCUGAGAUAGCACCUGACUUUCCUAUCUUUCUUUCCACUGUGAAUUUCAACAAUGACAAAAGCCCGUGGUGGGGUGGGUGUAGAUGGAGGCCUUAAGUUUGAGAACACUUGGAGAAAAGGCUGGUUCUCUUGCAAAUGAACAGAAUGGUGAGAUUCUUAGCUAGAUUAAGAAAAGGAGAGGUGAUGAAAAUAAAAUCAGGUAAGGAAAGGAACACGCUGUAACUAAGAGCAGGGAGAUAGAAAGCUCGUAAGAGCUUAUGAAAAAUUGUAUCCAACAUUUGUAGUGUCUAGUAGAAGCAAAAAAAAAAAAAAGCCCCUCAACUAGACUACAUGCCAAAUAAUCAGGAAACCUAAACAGAUCAGUAAUAGCAAUAUUGAAAAGGUAAUUGGAAAAUAAAGCUCCCAAAGAACAGCCAGGACCAGAAAGAUGAACUGCUAAGUUCCACUAAACAUCUAAUGAAGAACCAACACUAAUCCCCUUUAAAUAAGUCUCCCAAACAGAAGACAAUGGGAUUCUUCCAAAUACAUUCUGUAGGAUCAAGGCUACCCUAAUGCCCAAACCAGAGGAAGACAUAGCAAUAACAACAACAAACAUAAGUACAGGUCAAUAUAUUUAAUUAGCGUUAAUGAAAAAAUCCUCAACAAAGUCCUAGCAAAAAAAAUUCAACAGCUCAUUAAAAAAUGCUAGGAAUGUUGGGGCUAGAGAGAUGGCUCAGUGGUUAAGAACACUUGAAGGAGGCUGAGGUUUGGUACCCAGCACCCACAUGGUGGUUUACAAUCAUCUGUAUCCCCAGCUCCCAAGGCUUUGAUGCCUUUUUCAGGCAUGCAUGUGUCAUAUUCAUAUCUAUCUAUCUAUCUAUCUAUCUAUCUAUCUAUCUAUCUAUCUAUCUAUAUGAAUGAAUGAUUUGGAAUGCAAGGGAGGUUCAAUAUAUUCCAAUAAAAAUAAUGAUACACCAUUAUGAUGAAGGGCAAGAACCUUGCUGAUAUCUCAAUGAAUGUAAAUAAAAGGUAUUGGAUAAAAACAUUCAACAUCCUUCCAUGGUAAAAAAAAAUGCUGAACAAAUUAAGUAGGAAUAUGCUUCCUUGUAAUCAAAGCCAUUUAUAAAAUGCCAUUGGCUAACAUCAUGCAGAAUGGAGAGACACUAAACCUUUCUGUAUAAGAGCUAGAGCCCAUUCAUUUCAGUUGGACUCGGUCACGGUGGCAGUUGAGAAUUGCUGGUUCAUUAAGUGAAAACACUCAAGACAAACACACCAUAGACCAUUCCCAACUCCUGGCUAAAGUCAGAUCUCAUAUUCAGGACUUCAAAGUCAUUUCAGACUUCAUUCUUGUUAUGUUUUGAGUAAAUACACUAUGUUAAUCAUUUAGUCAAUUUCAAGAGAUGGAGUAAUUAAUAAAAUAAAUAGAAAUUGCCUUUCAAUUAUUUGGCUACAUUUCUAUAAUGAUCAAGGCUAUGCUAUUGGAAAAUUGAAUCUUCUCAAAUGAGCCCAAUAAUGACCAUACUGGAAGUUGCUCGAGAACGUGGGAUUACUUCUGGGGAAAAUAUUACAAAAGCCACUCUUACCCUGCAUGGCUGAGAAGUGUGUUAAGAAUCAAGAAUUAGAGUAUUGGAAGAAUCAAGUUAUAUAGUAAUUGUUAUAUAGUAGAUAUUGUUGAAGAGCUUUGUAUAUUCAUUUAAUCUUCUCACCAACCACACUUGAGGGCUUUGUUAUUACACUGCUUUUAGGUAAAAAAAACAGAGGCAUAGAGCUAAAGUACUUACAGAACCCAAUGAAAGAUGCUAGCAUCAAUACUUAAUUCAAUUAUUAGUACAGCACAUUCACUGAAGAAAGUUCAGUUUACUUGAUAAAGUGACCAAUUUUUUCAAGUAUUAAUAUUUUAUUUGAAUAUGAGAAAAACAAUGCUUUGGAUCCCUGGGCUAUCAAAUGUACUACAAGGGAAUCAGAGCAGAGCAGAAUUCCACAGAAAUGCAGAACUUCACCAUGGCCAGCAGUUCCUGGAGGGCACUGAAGAUACUACCGGAAGUGGAGAAGUUCUCCCUGGGACUUUCCACCAGCUCUCGUGGGCAGGAGAGUUCAGUUUCUACCUCUGACUACCUGAUUCACACUAGUACAAAACUUGACCUUUCUGGAGUUAGAGUGAGUCACCAAUCUUGGGUGCCAAGACCAGCUUUACUCUUCCUGAAUGGUAAAUGAGCAAUGAAUUAUCUUUUCCCCCUUAAAAAAGGAUACUCAAUUAUUUAUCAAUACAUUGACCAACUCAGUGAGAUAUUUUAUUAUUGAAUAUAGCAAUUUAGCACAUAAGCAUAUCUUCUUUUUAUGUAACAGGUAAAAAGAUGCUUGCCGUUUCACAUUAUCCUGCAUUCUAAAUGCCUACAAGUCAGGGUAGUUCUCAUUCCUCAUCAAAGAAACGUGCCUUUGCUGUAGACAGAGACCAUUACAAUAAUGGCGUAAUCAGACCCAGUGGAUACACUGACAAUACAACUCCUGUCUUUAAGGCUCAGGCAACAUCACAGAAGAUGGGGUAGAGAGAUCGUUAGGAGCCAGAAGACCCUGAAAGUCUGUGAGAUUGUGCCUUGUAGAAAUGAUGGGGAAGCCUCAGUGAUAAUAGCAAGCUAAAUAAGACCUGAGCAAGAGCCAUACUAAUAGACAUGGCACCAUUGAAGGAGGAAUUCAAGGGUCCCACCCAUAGAGAAGAACUAUGGAAAACCAAUGACUGCCAAGACAAGGGAGAAUUAGUUGUUCUCAGGGUUGAGUAUCUAAAUGGUUAUCUAAUUCCAAGUGGUCAGCUCUGAAAUCAUUCAUAAGUUUGAUAUAUUUAUUUGAUGUAUUUGAUAAAUAUAUUGUCAUGUUUAAUAUAUAAACUUAUUUGAUAUAUAUUAACACUAGAUGUUCUCAAAAGAUAUAUAUAUAUAUAUAUAUAUAUAUAUAUAUAUAUGCAAUAAUAAAGAAAAGAGGCCAUGAAUUUGAGGAGUGGGGGUACUCAAGGAAGAUGUUAGGAGGAGGAAAGGGAAAGGGGAUGAAUUACGGAAUUUUAUUUAAAAUAUACAUUUAAAAAAAAGAAGUUAUUUUUUAGGUUAACUAUCAGACCAUGGAGAUGGGGAACCCAGUGGAGGUUAUUUUACUGUAUUAUCAUCACUCUUCCUCUCUCCCAAAGUGAUUGCUUAAAUGGAGGCUGGGUUGUAUUGGGCUCUGGAGAAGAACUCCCACCCUACCCGAAAUCCGUAAAAAUGAGUAAAUUCUGAGGAGAGAGAGGAUGGAUGUGGUGUAUGUGGGUGUGCAAAGGCAUUAGAACCAGUCUCCAAAUGUUAGUUAUGAAAGUAUUUCAUUGUGGAAGGUAUAAAAAUAAUAUAAUCUCUUAAACAUUCCAUAAUCUAUGCUUUUUCUAGAGUGUCUUUUAUAUUAGUAGUUUUGAACAAAUCAUGUCAUACUAAUUGGUUGGUGGUUGUUUUUGAGAAUUGGGAAAGAAGGUAGUAUUCCUUUCCUCUGUAGAUUCUUAGGGGACAGGGAACCUCAGAUUCAGGCGAUGUUUCAGUGGCUUUUGAACCUCUCCAGCAGGAGAAAAAAAAUUCCUUUAUUUCACUUAAGAAAUAUUCACAUAAAAUCAAUAGGAUAUCAUAGUCUCAAGCUACCUGUGUUUAGUGUUGCAUGGCUGUAAUCUCAGCUCUGGGGAGACAGGAAGGAGGGUCUCAAGCUCAAGGCUAGCAUGAGCUACAGAGUGAGACAUUAAAAAACCAAAACAACAAAGCAACAACAGCAACAACAACGACAACAACAACAUCGACAAAAAACCAAUCAACUAGGGACACACUGUGACACAGUAUAACUUAUAAAAGUGUCCUUUUUCUUUGUUGGGUGGGGGAUAAUAUACAAAGGGUGAAGAGCAGGUAUAAGGGGAGAGAGAUGAGUAUGAUUUGAGUGCAUAAUGUGAAAUUCACAAAGAACCAAUAAAAAGUAAAAACAAACAAAAGCUAAUCAAUUGUAAUUGAGAUCUAAACUUAACUCUUAGUGAAUAGUUUCAAAAUAUCUAAAGGAGCAGUACAUAAUUGCUAUAAGGAAGCAAAUUAUUUAGAUAGUGUCUAGUCACUCUUCUGUGAAAUAAUUAUCUUGGAGUGAUGAUUUAAUGAAUGGAAGCUGAGUUAGUAAACAAGUCAGCUACAUCACUGAGCAGCUAGGGGAUUCUGUUCAUUUUUCUUUCCUCCCCAAAUCCCAAGGAACAUUCAGUUGACUUGGGCUGAGUCUCUGACUCAUCUCCAUGUUUUAUUGAUUAUCACUUGUGACUGAUACAGGAUUUGUGAUGACUCUCUCCGAUAGAAUGCAAGCCCAGGUUGCUUAGCAAGUCUCCUUAUCCCUGCAAUAGGAAAAAACAACUUCAAAUAAGAAACUUGUGGUGAGUUUGGAGUCACUAAAAUAAAAGAAACACAUGUAAAUUACCAGGAGAGAGAGAGAGAGAGAGAAAAAAUGGGGGUUAAUAAAUCCAGACUAUAAUUUACAGUCUUAAACUGUCCAUUAUAAGUAGAAGAUUUUUAUCUGUAAAUCCCUUGGAUUUAUCAACUCCAAGGGGGGGGGGUGGGCAGCAGAUACACGCUUGAGAAAGGAAUUAAGUCAGUGCAACAGGAAAGCACAGAACAAUGAAGGCAAACAGGAACAAGAAGGAUCUAGAAAGAAUUAAGAUGUGAUCAACAAACUGACAAAGGCUUUCUCAGAGGUGAUCUCAAGUGUAAACAGAUUACAUCCUCCACUUCAGGGAGAGCGGCUAAAGGGACAAAACCCUAAGCCCCAACCCAUGCUGUACCCAAGACACUCACUCCAUCUCCAAGGAGAUGUUCAAAGUCAAUUGAGGGACAGAAACCCAUUUUAUCAUAUAGGAGUCAAAAUCCAACAGGAGCUCCCAUGUUUAUGUCAGUGGAGAUGGACUAAAAACAAGAGGCAAAGAAGGGCACUGAAAACUAUCAAAGGGUUGGUUCCUAAGGAGUAUGUAGUAGUUAUGAAUAAAUAUACAUGAAACCAAUCUUAAAACACCCAAAUACACAAAGAGAAAACUGAACAGAUCUAGAGGUAGAGACAACAGAAGGGAUGAGCCCUUGAUUUUUAGCAGCUGGAAGAUAUAUAGGAAGAAAACAAGCAGGGACAUUAAAUUGUACCCUAGAUCAAAUGGAUGUAAAGUAAAAUUUCAGAGCAUGGGCUGGGGGUUAAGAGAUUGCCACAAACAUUAGGACCACAGAGUCCACAUAAAGCAGAUGUGACAGUAAGCAGAUGCCAAAGCACUUGUCUGUCAUCCCAGUGCUCAGACAGGAAGAUGGGGAAGUGAGGCAGAGGAAUCUUUGUUGGCUCCUAGACUGACUAGCUUGACUUGUGCAACAGUGGGCUAGAGACACCGUGUCAAACAUGGACCAGCAUCUGUCUUGAGAUUGUCCUAUGAUCUUUGCAAUGCACACUGUGGCAUGAACAACCCUUCUACCUCCCAUGGCACCACCAUACUCCUCUCAAAUGGUUAAGUGUUAGUAAAUACCAAAGCUAGAGUCACCACAUUAUCUGGCUCCAAAUAUAUUAAAAGCUAUAGUAAACAAAAAGCAUGGCAUUGGAAAAAAUAAGAGUCCAAUGGAACAGGAUAAAUGAAAGUCCAUCCAACUUAUAUUCAACACAGGAACCAAAAAUGCAGGAUGGAAAAAGGAAAGUAUUUUCAAUGAGUGUUGGGAACUAAUAGCCCACAUACCAAGAAACUAGACUUUUACUUUUAACCAUAUAUAAAAAUGAACUCAAAAUAGAUUACAGAAAUAAAUGCAAGAUAUGAAACUAUAUAACCUCAGGAAAACACAGGCCAGAGGAAGUUCUAGAUUCUUAACGCUGGUCUUUGUCAAGGCUUCAUUUUUUUGUUUUGUUUUGUUUUUGUUUUUGUUUUGUUAUUGUUGAUAAGACCUCAAAAGCAUGACCUGGAAGACAUAUGGGAUUAUGAUAAACCACAAAGGAUGUGCAAAGAAGCAACAGAGGGAAGAAACAGUCUAGAGGUUGGGAGAAGGUAUUUCCAAAGUAAUAUCUGACAGAGAUUAACUGUAUAUGUACAAUAGCACGACCUCAUGACUCUAGUGAAAGGUAACGAUAGAUCUAAAUCAAUGCUGCUUAAAAGAAAAUGUCCCAGCAGCAAGUAGGUAUGGACAUUAAUUAUCAGGGAAAUCCAAUUCAAAGCUGAGGUGACCUGCCCCAUCUACAGAGUGUUCCUCAGCAGAAACAGACAGCCUUGUAUGCGGUUAGUGGAGAUGAAAUUUAGAGAAGUCAUUAUGGAAACUGCUAAAAAAUUUACAAAUAGGAGUACUGUCAUGAUCCAGCAAUCCAACUACUGAGUAUGCAUGCACUCAAAGGGAUGAUGUCAGUAUGCCCAGGAGACGUCAGCACUCCCAAGUUCAUUACUGCACUAUUCACACUGGCCAGGAAACAGAAACAAUGCAUGUCCGUCCAAGAUGGAUGGGUAGAUAAGCAACACAGGCCACAUGAAGUACAAAGUAAAAUACUGUUUAGCAUGAAAUAUCCAAAUUUUAAGGCACCAAUGUACUGUUACCCUAGUUUUAUGAUUGGUUGGUUGAUUGAUUGACCGACACAGGAUCUCACUAUGAAGCUCUGGCUGUCCUGAAACUCACUCUAUAGACCAGGUUGGACCCAAACUCAUAGAGAUCUGCCUGCCUCUGCCUCCUAAGGGCCUUUAAAGGGAUUAAGGGCAUGCACCAUCACACCUAGCUUUUAGUCUUAUUGUUAUACAAUGCACAUAGGUACUGAAAGAUCAUACUGAACUCUACAAAACUUAUUCAAUUAAAAAUGAAAACAAAUUAGGACACAUAGAAGUGUGGUGUAAUUCCAGUCUUCCAGGGGCUGGAGGCAGGAGGAUUGUCAUGAGUUUGAGGUUGGUCUGGCUUAUAUAGUGAAUUCUAUACCAGACUGGGCUUCAGUAUGAGACCUGCCUCAACAUAUCAAAACAAAACCCCCACCUCCCCAAAUUCACAACAUUUUAUUCUUUGUUAUAGAUUGAAUUAUGACCCUCCACUCCCAAAUUCCUACCUGAAAAUUCUGGUCCUAAGGACUGUGUUUGGAAUGGGGAUUUUUUUAAGGAAGUAGUAGGGUUAAACAAAAUCAGGAUGGUAGGGCCAGAUUGCUAGGUCUGGUGACCUUGUAGGAAGAGGAAGGAUGUCAGAGACUUCUCUUCUUGUACACAGAGACUAUGUUUUUACUAUUGCAAGCCAUACAACAUCACUGAAGAUAAGUUUUCUGAAUUGGAAAAGGCCUCAUGUUCCUUAUGAGGUAGCUUUAAUAUAUAUGCCUAGUGUUCACUCACCCUGCCACCUAAGUAGAUUGACAUGGUAUGGGUGCUUAUCCUUGCUUUAUGCUCACCUUUUUUCUGGGUCAGUCCACUCCUUUCCUUUACACCGUGCUCCCCCACGACUCUGCAUCCUCCCUCACUAUGGGUCUUUUCAGAGCUUGCCUCAGCCCAGGGUAUUUCAUGAACUCUACCUCCUGAAUAUUGUUUCAGGACUCUCUGAACUUCAUCUCCCAUCUGCUCCAGUGGACAUAGUCACUGAGGUGUGGAUACAGAGGAGAGGAGGCCGUAUGCAAGCCAGGAGGACCACCCUCAGCAAAAUAGAAUUAGCUGCUGCUGACCACAGAACACCCAAUCUCCAGACCUGUGAGAAUGAAACUUCUGUUUCAGCUAUCAGCUGGUGGUGUUUUGUAAUGGUUUCCUGAGUCCACUGAAGCUCAGGGCAGUUCUGAAGGUUGGUCUUUCUUUGUCUAUCUGUCUCUAUCUCUGUCUCUAUCUCUGUCUCUAUCUCUGUCUCUAUCUCUGUCUCUCUGUCUCCCUCUCCCUCUCCCUCUCCCUCUCCCUCUCCCUCUCCCUCUCCCUCUCCCUCUCCCUCUCCCUCUCCCUCUCCCUCUCCCUCUCCCUCUCCCUCUGUGCUUCUCUCCAUGGGGUUAGCAGCUUGCUGACUUUCCUGGCCACUAUAACCUCUCCUUUCUCUGAUUAUAACAUCUGUUACUUACUGCUUAGACCUAAAAUAGAAGCAGCAAUAACAAUGGCGCUAGAGUCUUGUAGUUAGACAGUACUACACAAUGUUGCUUUAAUAUCAAUCCAAUGAUUUCUUCUCCCUUCCCUUCCCCUCUCUUCCCAUUCCUUCUCUUCCUCUUCUUCUUGCUAUUUCUUUACUUCACCAACCACCUCCCCUUCACCAAAGCCUCUCCCUUUCUUUGACAAGGUCUCUCUUGCAUCCCAAGGUAUUCUCACAUUGCUCCAUAGCCACAGACAACCCCGAAUGUCUGCUCCUCCUGCCUUCACCUCCCAGAUGAUAGGAUUCCAGGUGUGUGCCACCUUGUCUGAUUCAUCAGUGUUACAGAUGGAGCCUGGGGCUUCACACAUGCUAUGAAAGCACACAACCAGCUGAGCUACAUACCUUAGCCCUGUAUUAGCCUUACUAUUAAUCAGAGCACUAUAUAAUGACUGGUGCAUUUCUUCAUUGAAUGAGUUUUCUAAGUUAUAAACUGCAUGGUGUAUAUGUAAUGGUGUAUAUGUAAACAGUGACUGUAUAUGUGGAGGUAUUGUGUAUGACCUCUGCUCCAGGAGUUUCCUAUUCACAGGGCAAUUCUGAGACCCUUUGAACUAAACAAGAAAAUUUAACCCUGCUGUUUAUUUCAGCCUGCAAAUGAAAACCCAGGGUUCCAAAGGACUUCAAAAAUCUAUUAGUUUGAAUUAAUUAUACCUUGGCAAGCAAUCGAUAAAGCCAUAAUUCACUUUGCAGAGCGAAGUGUGUUCAUUGUAUUUCUUUCUUAAAUGAAAAUAAUUGUUUAAAAUAAAAUACCUGGACAUUAUGGGAUAAUUUAAGGUGCAUAAAAUCAGAAAGAGGCAGAAAAUAUCUAUCACAAUUUGUCACUCAAUUGACAUAUUUCUUUUAGGACCUUUGGAAAUAAAUUUAUAUAUAAUUGUUGAUUGUUGUCUAUAUGCAGGUGAGGGCAGGCACAAGAUAAGGCAAGGCCUGUGAUUGGGCAGUGAGACAGUAAGGCAGGCACAGAGUUUUGGAGAGAGGAGAGAGGAGAAAGAAGAACCAAGAUGGAGGCAGAGAAGGACGAUCCAGAUCUGUGUGGCCUUAAAUGGCCGCAGGUAGCUAUGACAACCCUAUAAGGGAUGGAUUAUUACAGGACAAUUUGUCUUACCCAGAUGGGCAGUUUAUAUUGAUAUCAAUUGGUUGUGAGUUUAUUGGGCAGAUGUUGUGGAGUUUGAAUUUACAAAUAUAAAUCUGAUUGUUAAAUUUCAAGCUUAUUGAGUUUUGAUUUUAACAGGUUACUUGGAGUUGUGACUAUAACCACAGGGGGCAGAUGCUGGGAAUGAGAGCAGAGACCACAGCAAGAGAGUCAUAAAAGUAUGCAGCGACAAUGUGGGGGUAGCCAUGGUGGUUAGAGUGCUCCAGGGGCUAAGAGAGUAGCCAGUGACAGCUUGGGAUAGAGAUUGGAAACUUAGUGAGUUGUUGAUUGAGAUGAAAAUACCCCGAAGACGCCAUGUGACUUGCUGGAGCCGGCAAAAGAAUUGGGUGGUGCUUUUUUAAAAAAAUAUUUACCGAAAUACAUAAUGGUUAUUAAUUUAAUAUCUCCCAAGUCUUUUCCUCCUCUCCUCUAGUCCCACCAGCAAAGCACCCCUCAUCUCUCACUUAGAUGCUUUUCGUGAAUCUCCAAAAUGUCUGCCUGUGUGUCACACCUCCCAUUUGCUACCUUGGGUAUUUGCUCACAUUGAGUCAAUGACGUUCAUCUCUCUUGGGUGUGAUGACUAUUUCAAAACAGCUCCUAGAAGCAACUUAAGUAAAACAGAAGUGGAGUGAUAAUAAUUUGAUGUCACCCCUAAUGCAGGUGUCUGUAUUUGUUUUGAAAAAUAAAAAAGAGUACAGGGUUCACUUUCAUAACUUAUUGAGAUCAAUCUUACAUUUGGGAAGCAGAGAAAACUAUAAGUCAAGAAGUCAGGAAGUCCAAUGCCACUAACAUUGAGUAUAACUGGGGAAUGAGACCUGCCUUGCACACACCCCCCCAAAAAAUAAAAGAAAAAGAAAAUCAUAGAAACACAUAAUUAGUGCAGGUAGGUAGUGCUAUUAAAAAUUAAUCUUUGAGGUUUUUGUGGCAGAGCACAGAAUUAAGAAAUAGUGGAACUAGACUUGGAUGCAUCCCAAGACUCCAGGUGCGACUUGAUCUUCCUUCUCAUGUCCUUCUGAGAGGUUGCUUAUGGCCUGAGCUCUCAGGGUACACAUGGCCACACCCAUGGUGACAUGCAGAGCCCAGCCUCAUGGGAAGAGGGGAAGGUUCCAAGAAUGGCAAAAGAGAACCACAGCGCCUGGUGCUGGAGUGCACUCUUUAAAAGGUCUGAAAUAAGAGGGUGCACUCACCCCUUACUAGGGCCUGAACCAAACCAGUAGCAGACCAUUUUUUUUUCCUAGUUGCUUCUGAGUUUUAUGUGACAGAUUGAAAAAAAAAAACCCAUGGUUUUAAGAGUUUGACAAAAAUCAAUAAUCUAAUUUAUCUAACUCCAUCUACCUAUCCAGUGGCACUCACUAUCUCCUUCCUUGUAUGAUAGGUAAUUAGUGCCAGUCAUAAAAUUCCAACUUUUCUCCCUCUAACAGCCUCUCCUUUCUCUCUAUCUGUCUUUGCCUCUCUGUUUUUCCGAACUCCAUAGUGUUCUAGCACAAGACCAUGAAGAUUGUGGUCAGAUAAAUUCAAAUAUGAGUGCUCCUAUAAAAGUUAUAACUGUGUAAUUCAAAUACUAGGACCCCAUUACAUUACAUAAUUUAAAAUGUUUAUGCCUAAAUAAAGGACCCUCAUUUGUCCUAUUUUGUGAUUUUUUUUAAGCAGGCAUUUUACCAAGUAUUUAGACUUCAAGAACGAAUGAACAGAGCCUUUGUGAGAAGGCAAAAUUAUCAGCCAGCAACUAUGCUAAGACUCCCAGCACAGGGAAUGAUACAAAAUGGCACUUAUGCUGAUGGAGCUACUCAUCGAGAGGAAAACAAAAUUAUCAAUUUAGAGUUCACCCACUGAGCAAGGAGGAACUUUUAAUCAUGUUAAAAUGCACACCAGUGCUGGUGAGAUGGCUCAGAGGGUAAGGGCACUUGCCACCAAGGCCAACGGUCUGAGUUUGAUCCCCAAGGCCCACAUGGUGGAAGGAGAGACCACAUUCCAUAAGGUAUCCAUAGGCUGUGGGGGAGAUGUAUAGUUCCCUAACUUAAGUGUAAUAGAAGUUGUUUAAAAUGAAGAAUAGGGCAGGAGAUAAAGCAGCACUAACGAGCUUCAAGGUCAUGGGAAGCCCUUGUGUGGUGGUCUUGGUCAGGAAAAUGGUGGUAGGUGAAGAGCAGUGUCUCUCUUGCCAACCCACACAGCUCAGACCUUGACCACAUUUCCUACCUCUGCAUGUUCAACUGGCAGCUGCGAGCAUGUCGCUAGUUCCAUAGGAUUUGAGGAGUACGCCACAGUUGCAGCCAGCCAGCUUCCUGGGUGGUAGCAGAUGUGUGCCUGGUCUUCCUGUCACCUUACCUAGCAUGCCACCCCAGCUAUUGGAAAGGGAGCCAAUAGCCAAUAGCCAAUAGCCAAUGCUGCUGAGAGCCUGUCACAGUAUACUUCCUAUUAGAGCUGUCUGUGGGGAGUGUCAUUGUCCUGCGACAUUCGAGAAGGCAAGCUUCACAUAUUCUCUGCACUUCUAUUUGUGCCUCUAGAGAAAGGUUGAGCCACUUAAGUAGUCUCUGGGGACAGGGCAUGAUAGGUUGGUUGGAAGCAGUCAGAGCUCUGGUUAUAUCUGAGGGCUUAUCCACUAAAAAGGAGACACUACUUUAAAAAGUAAAAAAACAUCAUGAAGUUAGAAAUGGCUGUGUCCUCUAGUGUUGAUUCCCCCUACACCGAAGACAUUCCAAGCUUUCUCCCAAGACUGACCAUCAGAUGAAGAUGUGCUGUAGCCCUAGGAACUCAAAGAUCGUUUAUAUAUUUAAAUGCUAGUUCUUUUGUUUUAGGAACAAAGUGUUUUUAAUGAGAAGUUCUUCCUAUACCUCUGGUAAGAACCAAAAUGAAAUGAGAAGAUCCUUUUCACAAUGAACCAUCUAAAGAUGGCUUCUUUACUACUCUGGACACACCUUUUAUAUCCUGAGGACCAUAACUAAGGAAAAUAAAUAGCUCCUCUAGGUAAUAUGGGUCCAGAAGACUGUAUUUGAGAUGCCUCUAAAUUUUACUGCUAAGAAUAAGAAUGGUCUUAGGUAACUAAUUUGUCUCUCAAACUCUAUAUGUUGAUGACAUAUGUUGUCACAAAUAACACAAUUUAGACUAAAUUAUAAAAAUGAUGUAACUAUAAUUGACCAGACUCUAUACAACCACAGUGCAAUAUAAUGGUUAUAUUGAAGUCAACUCACAGAAUCCAAAAUGUGAGUCUAUAGCUUUACGUUUUCUGUUUCAAACUAAAAUACAUUGGACCCUGCUUCUGCUGAAUACAAAUUGGUAAAAUGAUGUGAAUUAUCUAUGUUUUCAGACAUUUCAAUAAGCAGAAACACAAAAGUUUUAUUCAAAAGAUACAAGAAAAGAGAAAAGGUUCUCGGAAUCAAAGCGUAUCCGCUCAUAGAUUUUAAUUCGCAUUCACUAACUGGAAGAGAUUAUUUUUCUUUAUGAGACGAUUGUAACUUAGACUUAAAAUAUCUCUUUUUCUGUGAAAAGCUUUUGUGAUCACGUUUUUCAUGCCAUAAUAAAAACUCAGAUAAGGAAACAGAAUGCGGCUUGGGGUGGCUCAGCCAUGACUCAUCCCAUGCCCCCUCCUAGAACGUGUUACCCACUGAAUAAACCACACUUAAUAUCUUCAAGCCUCAUACAUUUUUCACUGUCUGUGGUACUAUGAAAUAUUCAAAGGGCCCUGGUUUAAUGAAAUAGCUGUUAGGAAAAGCACCUUUUUCCUGAUGAAUAUUAAGAUGCAAGAAAUGCAUUUUGGACCAGCUUUUGAAACUGUAAGCCACAUAUCCCCAGAGAGAGACAGUUACAGAAAGAGCCCUCCCCACCCCUUUUCAAGCCAACUGCCCAACUCAGAUCACUGAGUCAACUCCUAUAUGAAGAAAAUAUUAAAUAGAUUUCUACUAAUUUCACUCCAAACUGAUUGACUGAAAUAUCUGUGCAUUUUAAUUCUGUAGAAAAACCCACGUCUUUUUUACAUUAGCCUAGUGAGCUAAAUUAAAAGAAUUAAUGUCUACAUGGUCAUUGUGUGGUGGACUUUGAAACUUCAAGUGCAAAGGUUUGCUUAUUUGGCACAUUGUAUAUUCAAAGCACCUUCAUUUGUUUCUCCAUAACUCAGUUGAGUAGCUUUUCUUCCUUUGCCACUAAGCAGAGAGUCCAACCUCUGUGCUGUGGUCCCCUAGGCUCAUUUGUUUUAAUACUCCCCUAGCUUCGGUGGGGAGGACCUUGAGGUGGUUCUAACUGGAAAAAGUGGAGGGGUCUCUGAUAACCCUGAUCCUCUUUCUCUCUGCUCUGUGAUGGCUAACCAGGUAGGGGACGUGACUACCUCCUGCUCCUCCAACCAUCGUGGGUUAUGCCCUUUCAAACUGUGAACAACCCCUUCCCAGCCUUAAGUCGCUUCUUAUCAGGUAUUUGAUCACUACAAGAAAAUAACUAGUACAGAGACAUAUUUCCUUAUCAUUUCUGUGUACUCUGGGUACAGUAAGAUGACUGUGGCAUCCUUGAGCACUUCUUGGUAGAUUCUGGACACACAACCCCAGUUCUCUGAUGGAAAACCAAAGCCUCCCAGACACUGCCUACUUUCUGAGACAAUCUCCCCUGCAUAUAAAACCACUUUGUUAGAUCAACUGAUACAUGACAUCACAGUCUCUACAGGACACUGUUUAUUGUAUAGUCUGAGUUGGAGGUGAUGCUCAGUAAACAUCUGUAUGAAUACAGAGUAAGAUGGUGACUUCGUGUUGCAGACAUUGUCAGGAUAUUAAAAAUGCAUCAGCUGAGCUCAGUUUCACAUAAGACCUUAGGAGUCCCUCUAUAUCUAUUUUGGCUUUAGGAUUUAUUUUCUAGCAUUUGGGAUAGAAAGUGAAGAAAAGUGUUGUUGUAAUAUAGUAGAUUUCAUUUGAACUCUGGUUCAUAAAUUUCUAAUGAGGCAAAGAAAAUUAUCAAUAUUUCUCUUUUCUUACUUUUUCUUUUUCACUACUGAUGAUACAUCAAGUGUGUUUCAUAUAGAGAAGAGAAGGGGAGAAAAGAGGGUAAAAUAGGAGAGAGAAAAGGGCAAGACAAAAAAAAAGAAGAAAGGGAAAAGUAGCAAGAUCAACCAAUCUAUAAGGAAAAGUUAAGUCAAAUAAUCCUUUUAAAGGAAGCAUGUCUUUCAAUUUGAACACAGCCCAAAGAAAUUAUUAAAUUUAAAGCAAUUGACUUUUCCCUUCAGUAUAACAUUAUAGUUUAUCUAACAGAGACAGAGAAUAUCGGAGAGAAAUCAUGAGAAAUAAAUGUUAUUAAAAAAAAAAGAAAAGGAAAAAGAAGAAAGUUGACUUUCGUUCACUGCUUCCAUGUAAAGGAAGAAGGCACGAGACGGAAGACACAUCAGAGAGGGAUACUUCUCUGCAGCCACUGAGUUGUCAAGAUUUUCAUCCAGGAGGUGCUCAGGGCUCAAGAGCACAGAAUCUACAUCUUGAUGUGAAAAAUGGAAUCCAGAUUAUCAUUUUUAAGCAAAUAAAUUCAAGUUUUAGUUCUCCUAGAAAUAGAUCCAUAGACAAACAUUUAAGAGUAGGAAGGGGUCUACUUGACAUCAAAAGCUAUCCCUGCACAUGGUCCUGAGGUAGUCCAUCAGGGAAGGCGGCCAUGAAGCACUUGGUAAGAACUUGGUAAGGGAGGAAGGAAGGAGGGAGGGAGGGAGGGAGGGAGGGAGGGAGGGAGGGAGGGAGAGAGAGAGAGAGAGAGAGAGAGAGAGAGAGAGAGAGACACUAGAAUGGACGAUGCCAAUCAUCUCUGAGAGGAACCUGACCCUCAUUCUUAUGGCAUGCUGGAGUGAGUAUAUGGACUGAACAUCACAGUUGUGAAAAAUGCCUCCUUUCAUCUAAGCCAUCCACUUCCUGUUCUUUAUGCUUAUAAAGAAUGCUGGAAGCUAUGGUAUUCUCUAUUAACCCAGACCCUCUAUUUUAACCAUGCUUCAUGCUCUGAAUGCUAUUUCUGUAACUGCGAGGUUGAGUUUUGAUUUGAUGAUCUGUGUGCAUCUCUCUCAGGCCAAGAGCUACUUACUC